GAAAGGCGACCGACCUUCGGGAGCUUGCACAGGUGCUGCAUGGCUGUCGUCAGCUCGUGUCGUGAGAUGUUCGGUUAAGUCCGCUAACGAGCGCAACCCUCGCUGUGUGUUACAAGUGUCACACGGGUACUGCCGGUCUUAAGCCGGAGGAAGGUGGGGAUGACGUCAAGUCAGCAUGGCCUUUAUGUCCUGGGCUACACACACGCUACAAUGGCCAACACAAUAGGUUGCUAAGCCGCGAGGUGGAGCCAAUCCUCAAAGUUGGUCUCAGUUCAGAUUGCAGGCUGCAACCCGCCUGCAUGAAGAUGGAGUUGCUAGUAACCGCAGGUCAGCUAUACUGCGGUGAAUACGUUCCCGGGGCUU
rnacentral:rRNA from 1 species